rnacentral:lncRNA from 1 species
AGGAGCCUGCGCGGGACCCCAGCAUCCUGAGGCUGCCCAGGGUCGUCGGGGUCCCCGGACCCCGCGGGCGCCGCCACCGGGGCGAGCAACAGCAGCAGCGCGAGCAGCGGGGCGGUGGGGCGCGGGCCCCUGGGCCCGGACCAGGGAGCAGGCAGCCGUUGCCGGCGGGGCUGCAUGGACGCAGGAAAGUUGGCUCGGCACCCGACAGACACGGGCUCGGAGCGGGCAGUGCCGGCGCUCGCGGAAAUAAGGCCGUGGUGGGCCCCUCCCCUCCGCCCCCAGGGCGAAGGUUGCACAGUGGCUCAGAGAGUAGACUUGGAGCCAGGCUGCCCGGUUUUAUAGCCCUGCUUGACCUGUGUGAUCCGAGAAUAAUCUUGUUUAAUCUCCACAAGUUUGAGGACUAAACUGGGUGCCACAGAGAAUUAAGUAACUGGUCGAGGUUGUAUCAGUAAGAAGGGAGCACGGAACAGAUUCAAGCUCAGAUGGAGUCUCACACUGUCACCCGGGCUGGAAUGCAGUGGUGUGAUCUUGGCUCACCUCCCAGGUUCAAGCGAUUCUGCUGCCUCUGCCUCCCGAGCAGCUGGGAUUCCAGGGAGCCUGGUUGGACUUCAGGCCCCUGUGAGGCUGACUCUGUAGUCCUGGAGAAACUCAACAGCCAGGAACUUAGGACCAUUUGUGUGUGGCAUUUGGGCUAACCAGACUGGUGGCUUCUAAAGAAGAUGGAAAGCAUCACGUUUCCUGUAUUUAAAUUAUUUGGUGAUCUCAAUACUGGUUGUUAGCCAAAGUACACAAUGGAGACAGCCUAUUUGCUCUACUACUUUUGAUGUAGAAAUAUUACUAAGCUUGAGCUGAUUAAUAGAACUGUUACACAUUUCUGUGCUCCCCUUACUGGUGGCAUGAAAUAAUUCUUUUAAAACCUGCCAUGUGUUCACAUUUAAAACUAAAAGUAAUUUAGAUUACAUGGAUUUGAGAAGCCCAUGUUGACACGUAAUUGCCAACAGAUGGGCUUUCAAAUGUAAUGAAGUGAAAAUGGUCAGUACCCCAUGUGUUGGAUUUUGCAAUUUUCCAAAGUAAGCUGUCAUUUUUGGCAUGUCAUGCUAGUUAAGAACACAAUGUAUUUAUAGCUCAAUUAUACAUUUUCUGAUGAAUUUGGCAUGGCAUUUUGUUUUUCCAUCAGUCACUUAAGACAGGACAUUUGCCAUUCCAAGAAUGAAUUAACACUCUUCUAAGUGAUCUAUAAACUGAGAUGUAAAAUAAAUUACAAAUUGGGACUGUUUUAGUUUUUCAAGCAAAGGGUGUUUAAAUAAAGCUUGAAAUCAUAAACCUUAUUUCCUGUUUGAGAAGAUGGUGUAUUCAUUACAGAGUGAAAUAAAGGAUUUUAAUGUUUUUUUUUUUUUCCGGCAAUAAUAGUUAGAAUCUUACGUUCUUCAAAGAAAAUUUCAAAGAAAAUUCAUAACACUUGUUAAUAUUUGUAUGCCAUGAACUUUCUGGAGUGAUUGAUCUAUGCAAUUCUGUUUAUGACACUGGUGUUCAUCAGUGAAAUUUGCAUAGAGUAUGUUAUCAAGGCAAACCAAAACCAACUCUUCAUACCUCAGGGGAAGGCGUUUUCCCACAUGUGGCAGCCUAGAUAACAGGACAGUGUGUUAGAAAGCCCUCAUUCUAUUUUCCCCUCUUCACCAUUAUUUCUACAGGGUGCACACCAGGGCAUAUAUAUAAUAGUGAGAGCAAACAGAAGUACUGAUAAAUCACCUGGCUAAUAAAUAGACAACACAAUCACCUAGAUGACUUAGAAUACGUGAAUACAUACAGACAGAGGUUGGUUGAUUCCUUGGAGUGUUCUUAUGACAGUGCUGAUUUGUGUGUGUGGUUAGUUGUUAAAAUUUGGUGCUCCUGCAGGGAGGAUGAUUGGUGCAGGCUUCUGUUCAGCCACCCUGCCCCUAGUUCCAUGGAAUGUAAUGUGCGGUGGGUGGAUCUUCAAGUCCAGAAGCAGAAAAGCUGGAUUUGUGGGCGUUCAGAAGAGUCAGCAAGUUGUGAGAGCAGCAAGGGGCAGACUGGUCUGGGCAGAAGGUGUGGGCCGAGUGAAUGAAUUGUAGGGAAGACCAAACAGAACAGCAGUGAACCUGGCUGGAAUCAUGCCAGUGGCUACUUAGCAGUAAAGGAAAAAGGUGGAAAACCUUGAAGCCCAGCAAUGGGCAUUUGCUCUUAGAGGGUUCUCUAAAGUCCCUGCACACCUAGCCUUGAAAAGAGCCUACUGUGCACAGGGUGAGUUGGGUUGGAUUAUUUUUUUGAAACAAAUGCCACUGUAAACAUGUUUUUCUCUUCACUGGUAAAUAUCAGAAUUAUGAUGAGGCUUUAGGAUAAGGAGAUAUUAUUGUUGGCUAAAAUGAAAUUCUAUCUUGAUUCUUAAAGAACUAAGAAGGAUGGUACAGGGCAAAGAGCUCUGGUCUGAGAGUCAGAAGGCAUGGGGUCUAGUCCCAGCUCAACAACUCAAACUGGCUCAGUCUCUUCUGUGUAAAGUGCUGGGUGUGGGAUGAAUUACAUGGCAAACAGAGGGAACUGCCGGUUUGAAACACUGUAGUUUUAUUCUCUUUUACCUGUGCCUACCCGGUGCAGAGAACCUUGCUAAGUUGUCCUUUCUUUGGACACAUCUCACUAACGUCUUCCCACCUUCUGAAAGAAGACUUGUGCCUUCUUACUAUCAUGCAGAUAUCAUGCCUGGCCUUAUUACCAGAUAUUUUAAGUUAAAAAAAAAUCCAAACCACCAAAGAUCAGAGUUUAAUUGAUAUGCUUAUUGCUCUGAGCUAAAUGAAACAAAUGAAUGUCUGGAAUUUGGUAAAUGAGAUGACUCCUAUUUUGAAUUGUAAGUAAACUGAUGUGGCAGUCAGGGUAGUCUAGGAUAUGCUGCAAUAACAAACAAUGCCUACAUCUCAGGACCUAAGAUAAAAAAGGUUUAUUUGUUGCUCUCAUCACAAGUCCGUUAUGGUUUGGCUGGGGGUUUUACCAUAGCAUUGUCAGUGUUCUUAUUCCACAGGGCAGGCUGGUGGAGCAGCUGCUUCUGGAACAUUUCUUGUUGCUACAACUGAGGAAAAAGAGAACAGGGUGAAUUAUGCUUAGGUUCUUAGAGUUUCUGUUCAGGAGUGAUACAUAUUACUUCUGCUCACCUUUUAUUGACAAAAGCAUGUCGUAGGCGAUGCUUAACUUCUUCAGGGGGUGGGAAAGUACAAUAUCAUCAUGUUCUCCAGGAGGUGGAGAGCUGGAAGUAUGUGGAACAGCACAAAUGCUUACCACAACAGUGACUGCUGGGCGAGACCUAACCUCAUCAUGAGCAGAGUCUUUCAUAUAUUGUAUUAGUUUGCUGAGCUGCCAUAACUGAAUACCACAGACUGGGCAGAUCAGACAGCAUUUAUUUUCUCCCAAUUCUGGAGGCUAGAAGUCCAGUGUCAUGGUGUAGGCAGGGCUGGUUUCUUCUGAGACCUCUUCCCUUGGCUUCCCCUUCUCUGUGUGUCUUCACAUGAUCUUCCCUCUGUGUGUGCCUGUGUCCUUGUCUCCUUAUAAGGACACCAGUCAUGUUGGACUACAGCCCAUUCCAAUGACCUUACUUUAACGAAUUACCUCAUUAAAGAGUCUGUUUCCAAAUGCUGUAAUAUUCUGAGGUGCUGGGGGUUAGGGCUUCAAUAUAUGUAUGAAUUUUGGGGGGACACAAUUGAGCCCAUAACAGAUAUCAUGUUAACAUUAGAACUGGGGCUGUAACAAUGGUAAUUGUUAAUAGCAAUUAGUAAUUAGCAAAAAUUUUGAUACAUAUUAUCCCUGUCCCUAUACUUGGUAUGAAAAAGCUCAAUAAUUUUUUUUUUGUUUUCUUUUAUAGGGUCUUGCUCUGUCACCCAGACUGGAGUGCAGUGGUGCAAUCUUGGCUCACUGCACCCUUCACCUCCUGGGCUCAGGUGAUCCUCCCCAUCAGCCUUCUGAGUAGCUGGGACUACAGGCAUGUGCCACCAUGCCUGGCUAAUUUUUGUGUUUUUAGUAGAGAUGGGGUUUCGCCAUGUUGCCCAGGCUGAUCUUGAACUCCUGGCACAAGCAAUCCAUCUGCCUUAGCCUCCCAAAGUGCUGGGAUUCCACACGUGAGCCCGCACGCCAGGCCACAAGAUCUAUUUGUGCAAAUAGAUUAUUUCUUGCUAUAACAUUCAUGACAGCUCUAAGAUGCUGUGAUUAGAGUUUAAAAAUUGUAGAUUUAAUUGCAGACCUAUAGAAAGUUUUCAUAAUACACCUCAUACCUUAAACUCUCUUUAAACACAUUAGAUACUACAGAAUCCAGAAGACUGACUUGACUUUUUACUGGUUUUAAUAUUUCUCCUGUGAUAUGUGUUAGAAAACCAUAGACUUGUUAUUUUUACUGAGUAUUUCCCUGCUAUUAGACAUGAUUGGCUGGGCACGGUGGUUUGUGCCUAUAAUCACAGCACUUUGGGAGGCUGAUGCAGGCGAAUCACCUGAGGUCAGGAGUUUGAGACCAGCCUGGCCAACAUGGUGAAACCCCGCCUCUACUAAAAAUACAAAAGUUAGCCAGGCAUGGUGGCACAUGCCUGUAAUCCCAGCUACUUGGGAGGUUGAGGCAGGAGAAUCACUUGAACCCGGGAGGCGGAGGUUGCAGUGAGCCGAGAUCAUGCCAGUGCACUCUAACCUGGGUGACAGAGUGAGACUCCAUUUCAAAGUAAAAAAAAAAAAAAAGAUACGAUCUAGGCUGGUGGUUCUGAGACUUGAGCAUGAAUCAUCAUCCCCAGGAGGGUUUGUUGAAACAGACGACUGAGCCUCUCCCCCAGAGAUUCUCACUCCGUAGGUCUGGGAUGGACCCAAGAUUCUGCAUUUCUGACAUGUACCCAGGUGGUGCUGUUGCUGCCAGUCAGACCAGACUGCAAGAAGCACUGGUUUAGGAAAUUGCAGGUGAGGUCCUGGAAGGCAGCCAGGCUAAUGUGGGUACAUCACUGAUACCUUCCAGUCACAGGGAGACAGGGAGUCAGAAUUAUUAGAAUAGUGAAUGAGGCACUGUGUAACCAGGACCAGCUCUUUUGUAUUUCUUAAUCCUUACACAAACCAUGUAGUAUUACCCACUCUGUGUAAGGCCUACUUCCUCUUGAACCAUUCUUCAGUCAUUUUGUUUCUGUUUUUAGAACAGAGGGGCUGGUACAACAUGCUUUUUAACAGUUAGGCCAAUUGCACCAAAGUCUUGAGAAAAAAACACUUAAACCCAGUCAUUUUCUGUUUCCAACUGUGCUGCUUUUCAUACACACAACUUUCUGGAGCCCAGUGCUAACUGUGACCACUUUUGCUUUGGGAGUCCUAGAGCUCCUUGUCAAGGCUCAGCCCCGUGGCCUGCACUCACCUCUCCUCCUGAUGGCCUUAGCCUCCUGAUUGAGACUGCACACUCAGACCAUGCUGUUAGGACUGAGGGAUUUUUAGUCCCCCAAGUACCAAUGAGAGCUGGAGAAGUGACAAGUGGAUGUGUCCAGAGAAGGAGGCCGAGGCAGACCGUGCUCUCUGUUUCCACAGUAUCCCUUCUCCAUUUCUCCCUUACUGUGAUGGUCUGAGUUUUGUGUUCCCCACAAAUUAACAUAUUUCAGUCCUAACACUCAAAGUGAUGGAUUAGGAGGUAGGGCCUUUGAGGGGUGAUUAGUGGCUGUAUGAAAGAGGCCCGAGAGUGGCACCUCAUCUUUUCCAUCACGCGAGGACACAGCAAAAAGGCCCUGUGAACCAUGAAGUGGGUCCUCACCAGAACCUGAAUCUGCUGGCACUUUGAUCUUGGAUUUCCAGCCACCAGAACCGUGAGUGAUAAAUUUCUGUUGUAUAAGCCACCCAAGUCUAUGGUAUUCUGUUACAGCAGCCCAGAUGGACUAAGACACUUACUGACCAGACCCAAGGGUCGUGUAGGGUGGUGAUGUGCUCACUAAAUACUGUGCCAGUGCCAUUGUAGCUAGGGGCAGCUGUGUGACCUGCUUCUGGCUCAUGCAUGCAAGAGUUCUGUGUGGAGUUUCUGAGAAAACCUUUAAAAGGAGGUCUGGCUCAGCUGGGGUGCUCUUAUUGUCCUCUGCCCUUCACCCUUCCCCUUAUUCCUUCCUGGAAUGCAGAUGCUAGGCUUGGAGGUGCAGCAGCCAGGGUGCUACAAUGCAGGCUCCAUACUGAGCAAGUUGGAGCAGGAGGAGAGCAGGAGCCUGCCUCUCCAGUGGCAACCCCAGCAGCUGCUGAACUCCAGACUUCCUCUCAUGUGAGAAAAACCCCCUACUAGACUCUGCCUGUUUGUUAGAUUUUUCUGUUACUUGCAAGGGCUCUGCCUCCAUCAGCACGGAGUCUGAGAAAGAAGAGAAGUGACUGGGAAGUGACAUGUGAGUGUCCCACCACUGAUGACAGUGAUGAGAAUCAGCAGACUAGCAGCCACGCGAACAAACAUUUCCUGAGCACUGACUCCAGAUCAGGCACGAUGCCAAGCCCUCGACGUGGCAUUUUACAGAUGAGGAAUCUAAGGUUCAGAGGGUUUUAGUAACAUGCCCAAGUCGCACAGCCAGGAAGGGUAGAGCUGGGAUUCACACCCAGGCCUGUCCAACCUCCCUGGCCCUCAUCAGGACUCUUGACCUCUCUAGCUCUGGUCCCCAGGCCUCUGUCUUUGGUGUCUAGAGUCAGGCCUUAGGCACCUGUCCACUUUCAAGGCCCUGGCUCUCAUGGCUUGUAUCCCCACCAACCUCCCCGAUCCCUUCCCUGCAAACACAGCUGCUUCUCCAUGGCUGGGCUGGGGUUGGAGCCCCCUCUUCUCCUGCUGUGCCCACCCUCUCCUGUCUGGUGACUCCUGCAGGAUGGGGCUCCUCUGCCUUCUAUUCCCUGUGUUCUCCUCCUUUGCCUUCCUUAUCAGAAUGAGAACAGGCAUGACGCCUCUUCUUAGAGUUUUGAUUUUUCAGAGUUGCAAAUACGUCUGCUCUUCACAUUGUAUCUUUAUCAUUUUGAUUGAUGUCAGUUUCUAGAACACCUCAGCACUGGAAACAAGUACCAGAGGAAAACAACAUACAUUACAAAGAAAAAUAUGUAUAGUAUUGAUAAAUGAUAGAAUCUCAGAGUUGAAAGGAAUCUUGGGGCACCAUUCAGCCUCACCCUUUCCCCUGAAGCUGAAAACUCAAAAGGUGAGCUGGGUGGGUAGCGGGGUCAGAGUGCUUGCAUGGGAACUGAGGCCUGAGCAUUUUGUACAGAAAGAAUAAAUCCCACAUCUCCCAUACCACGUGUUCAAGCACUUUCAAAUGUAUCAAGACACUGUUGUGAUAGAUAGAAUAUGGAUUCCUUUAAAAGCAUCCCUGAACGUAGAGGUUUUGAUCAUGAUGCAUUUUCUGGUGUACAUGUGUGUUUAAGGCGUCUUCAUACUCAGAGUUACGAGCUCCUUCUCAGGCAGACCUGGUGCGUGCUGCUCACUCAUCCAUGAAAGCUCCUUGGGAGCCUCAGAACCGGCCUUAUCUUGCAUCCAGCUCUGCCUCUGGGUCACUUCUACAGUUGCCCUGGUCCUGUGUAGUGUGACUGAGAAUAAGCCCCUCCAACCUUUGGAAAUCAGAGUCUGUGUCCUGGUCCAAAUGUGUCCUGGCACCUCUUUCUCAUUCUCAUCUUGACCUAUGGUGAUCAGCUUCUCCUGGUCUGCCAGAGAGUAUCCUGGAUUUAAAACUAAAAGUUCUGGGUCUGGAAACUCCCUCAGUCCCAGGAAAACUGGAAUGGUUGGUCACCACUGUCUACUCUCUUUCAGGCUGAACAAUGCUAUUUCCUAAAAUGUUUAUAGUAGACAAGGUGUCUACAUCCCACCAUCCUGGUACCCCUCUGGGCUCAUGCUCCAGUUCGACAGCGUCACUCUGAACAUGCUGCAUCUUAAGCUGAAGGAGAUCCUCCGUAUUGAGGUUGUGGGUCUGUCGAUCAAUGUAUUCAACUUUUAACUAACUGCUCCACAACACUGGCUUAUAAUGCAUGUGUGACCAGUUAAAACCACAGGGCGUCUCCAUUAACUUCUGUCAGGUCAGGUUUCCCACCUCCACCCUGUACUUGGCAGUUGCUCUUUUGACCUAAUGGCAGUUUAUUUUAAAUUUAGUUUAAUUUAUUGGCUUGGGCCUAGUCAAUGUCCCUUUUCAGGUGAUGUGAAAUGUGAGCCCCUGGCCCAUCUUGGUCGUCUUGCCCAGGUUUGUGGCUUCUGCUCAUUUGGUAAACCCACCUUCUGUGCCCCCAUCCAAAGUGUCAGUACAAAUGUUUGGCACAGAUCCCUGGGGCACAUCACCUGAGACAUCCAUUGAGAUUCACAUCAAGCUGUCAGUUGAUAAUCUCUAUUUUCUUGUUCAGCUACCAGGGAGAAUAGAUCUAAUUGUAUUUUGGCCCUUAGGGGUAACCCCAGAGGCUUUGGGCACAUGCUGAUAAAAAAUCAAAAUCCCUUAGGAGCUGAAGCAUAUUCCAGAAAGGCUAGGAUGCCACCAGGUCAACACCACUCUGAAUAAGCACAGGUAAUUGAGGCAUUGACCCUAUAAUUAUGUGGGUGGUUUACUCCCAGCAAAGGCCUAAUCCUCAGUUGGCUCCUCUUUGCCACUCACAGGUCUCCGAGUCACUUCCUUUCACCAGCCAUUUUUAGUAAACUCCAGGGGAGUUCGGAUCAAUUUGCUUAAUAUUUCAAGAUUUUAUUCCAUCACAUAAAGAAAUAGAUUAGUGGGAUGUACCUUCAAGUAUAAUCUCUUAGAAUUUGUGUAUUAACUUUUUUGUCCCUGCACCUGUGACCUUUUUAAAAAAUUGAGUUAAUACCUACAGAGAAAUGCCCAGAUCUUAAAUAUGCACUUCCAAGAGUUUAAGCAAUUGUAUAAUCCACGCCAUCAGCACCCUAGUCAAGAUACAGGUCCCACCCAUCACCCCAGAAAUGCUUCAGUGCCUCCUUCCAGUCGGUUUCCCCCUCACUCUUCAUGUGGCCUAAGACUGUACCACUCUAACAGGUCUUAGACCCAUGCAAAUAUAACUAAAGGUGAUUAGAAAGAAAUAUCCCAUAAAAAUAAAAUAAGAACAAUAUACAUGUUUUGAAAAUAACUGCAGUUUAGCAUUUUCCAUCUCUGUCUAUGGCACAGGUAACCAAGUGUUUACUACAUUGUUUUCUCACAUUUUCUAUUGCAUAAUUUUCUUUGAAUAGUUCAGUGUCAUACCAAUUAAAAUGUUUACUCUGUGUUGCAACUUGUAGUAUCUUAAAAAACGUAUAUGUACAACUGAACUUAAAAGGAGGGACACUCUGCUGGAAUGUGAGAGUCAUUAGGUAUAUAACAACCAAUGUCAUCAUUCCUGGCUGGUAGAAUUGUCUGAUGAGGCCUGCAGCCAGCAGAGGUGCUCACAGGUGCAGGAGUGCAUACUGGCUGGCCUUUACCUGGUGGUUUGUGUUGGCUGCUGUUUGUGGAGACCUGCAUUUGUAAGAGCAUCCCUGACUGCUGUGGCUGACACACCUGCAAGUGUCUGUGGAAUGUAAUUAGUGCAGCCCAGCCUUGCAAAAAAGAAAGUCUUCUCUUGUUGCAGGAGAUGAACUGGACUGACCCAUUCAUGAUUGGUGGAUAGAAGAUAUCCACCUAUAUUUUUGUACUUUGCAAAGAGUGUUCAACAUUCACUAAUAUGAUGGUGACCUUCUGGGAAGGAUGAAAAAUUCUGAGAAAUUCUUUAAGUCUGAUAGCAAAUUAUGUUUUAGCUGUCCUGUCUUAAGUUCAGCUUUGGUGUUUGUGAUGGUUAAUUUUAUGUGUCAACUUGAUGGAGCUAAGGGAUGCCCAGCUCACUGGUAAAAUAGUACUUCUGGGUGUGCCUAUGAGGGUGUUUCUGAAGGAGAUUAGCAUUUGAGUUGGUGGGCUGACUGGAGAAGAGUGCCCUCAACAAUGCGAGUGGGCAUCAUCCAAUCUGUUGGGGGCCCAAAUAAAACAGAAAGACAGAGGAAGGGCAAAUUUGCUGUCUGAGCUGCGACAUCCACCUUCUGCCGUCAAACACCAGCUCUCCUGGUUCUUGGGGAACUUGGACUGGAAGAAACCACACUGGGUUUCCUGGAUCUCCAGCUUGCAGAUGGCAGAUCUGGAGACUUCUCAGCCUCUGUAAUCCAUGAGCCAAUCCCUCAUAAUAAAUCUCUUUCUAUAUAUCUCUAUAUAUCCUCUUGGCCUGUUUCUCUGGAGAAUCCUAACUAAUAUGACAUUUUGCCUAACUAUGGUAAGGUGCUACUCAGAGCCCUGCAAAGCAAUGAAGAAAUAGUAGUAGUAACAGCAAUAAUAAAAACCACCAUGACAAUAAUAACAACCAUUUGCUAUUGCUCACCAUGCUGGCAGCUGUGCUGAGGAGCUUGUAUAGAUCAUCACAAUUAAUUCCCACAGCAGUACCAUUUAUAGAUCAAGUAAUUGAAGUAAAACAGGUGAAGUAACUUUCCUAAAGGGGUAAACCACAUUAAAAGUAGAAUUUGUACCAGGUGUACCUGUCAGUGUCCCAGGAGAAAAUGGCUGGUAUAUUUAAAUUGAGCGAUUGGAGGCAAGUAUGAUAAAUAAAUAAUGGAGUUUUCACAUGUAUGAGGAACUGCACCUAGAUGUGUUCCUUGGUCUGUCUUUCUGGAUCAUUCCGUGCUAUGAUGUCCUUCUAAUAUCUCUAGCUUUCAUAAUAAGUUAUAUUAUCUGGAAGAGUGAGUCUCUGACUCUCCCCGCUCCUCCUCCUCCUCUUUCCUCUUCAAUUUUUGUUUCUUAGCUGUUCUUUUCUGUUUAUUCCUUGCAUUAAUUUGAGGAUGUACUUGAAAAGUUUCAUGAAAAAAAAUCUGGGUGGGGUGCAUUGGCUCACACCUGUAAUCCCAGCACUUUGGGAGGCUGAGGCUGUCAGAGCACUUGAGGCCAGGACUUUGAGAACAGCUUAGGCACCAUAAGUGCCAUCCUAUCUCUACAAAAAAGAAAAAGAAAAUUAGCUGGGCAUGGUGACUUGUGCCUGUAGUCCCAGCUACUCGGGAGGCUGAGGUGGGAGGAUCACUUAAACCCGGGGGGUUGAGUCUGCAGUGAGCUGUGAUUGCACCACUGCACACCAGCUUCAGGGUCUACAAGGCUUCACUCUGUCACACAGGCUGGAGUGCAGUGACAUGAUCACAGCUCACUGUAGCCUUGACCUCCCAGGCUCAAGCAAUCCUCCCACCUCAGCCUCCCAAGUAGCUGGGACUAUGGGCACGAGCCACCACACCCGGUUAAUUUUUUAUUUUUUGUAGAGAUGGGGGUCUCACUAUAUUGCUCAGGCUGAUCUCAAACUCCUGGGAUAAGGCAGUCCUCCCACCUCGGCUUUCCAAAGUGUUGGGGUUACAGGCAUGAGCCACCGCACCUGGUCAAACUAUCAUCUUACUUAUAAUAGAUUAUAAAACUCUCUUGGAUUUUCUAUACUAAGGUAGUCAAAAUUUUAAGAAGGCCUCCAAGAUUUUCACCUCUUGAUGUACAUACCCCAUAUAAUUCCCUUCCCUUGAGUGUCAGUAGAACCUGUUAAUAUGAUGGGAUAGUCACUCCCAUUAUUAUGCUGUACCAUUUAAGACAGUUCUAGGUGACCGAAGGGAGAGAUUCUCCUGGUGGCUUUGAACAAGUAAGCUGUGACAGUGUAGGCCAAGUGGCAAGGGACUGCAGGCGGCUUCCGGGGGCCAAGAGCAGGCCCCAGGCAACAACCAUCAGAAAACGGAAGCCUCACUCCUAUCAUCCCAGGGAACUGAAUUCUGCCACCACAUGAGUUUGGAAGAGGAUCAUGAGCUCCAGCUGAGAGCAGAAGUAGGGCCUCCGCCUUGAUUUCAGCCCCACCUUGAUUUCAGCCUACUGACACCCUGUAUAGAGAUACUGACUUCUGACCUACAAAACUGUGACAUAAUAAAUGUGGGUUUUUUAAACUGCUAAAUUUGCGGUUAUUUGUUACCCAACAACAGAAAGCAUUGUAAACAUUCUUGCUGUUUGCAAUUAAUGGCAAGAUUGUUUCUUCCUUUCCAAACCUUAUACAUUUUAUAUUUAUUCCUGGCCUUAUUUUCCUGGCUAAAACCUUGAGUUAAAUAGAAGGGACGAUAUUGAAAAUCCUUAAAUUUUUCUUGAUUGUAAGGUAAUUAUUUUUUAUUUUUAUUUUUUUUGAGACAGAGUUUCACUCUUGUUGCCCAGGCUGGAGUGCAAUGGCUCGAUCUCGGCUCACGGCAACCUCUGCCUCCUGGGUUCAAGCGAUUUUCCUGCCUCAGCCUCCUGAAUAGCUGGGAUUACAGGCAUGAGCCACCAUGCCUGGCUAAUUUUGUAUUUUUAGUAGAGACAGGGUUUCUCCAUGUUGGUCAGGCUGGUCUCGAACUCCUGACCUCAGGUGAUCCGCCCGCCUCGGCCUCCCUAAGUGCUAGGAUUACAGGUGUGAGACCACUACAGGUGUCUACCCGGCCGAUUGUAAGGUAAUUCUUCUAAUAUGUCAUCAUUAAAUGUUUUUGUAAUCUUUUAGAGAACAUCUUUGAUGAAAUCAUGAGCUUUAACUUCUCUUCCUACUUUGCUAAGAGUUUAUUUUCCAAUUACGAAUGGGCUUUAAAGUUGUUAUGUGUGUUUUCUACAGCUAUUGAAAUAAUUAUAUGUUUUUUCUUUUUUAACUGUUAAGCUAGUUUCUACGUUGAUAGAUUUUCUGAAGUUAAGCCAUUAUUUCAUUCUUGGAAUAAAACCUAAAUUUAAAAAUGUAGUACAUUGCCAGUUUUAGAUUGUUAAUGUUUUAUUUAAGAUCUUUGUUAUCUUUCUUCAAAGGAUUAGUAAAACAAUUGUAAAGCCUUCAAAGAUUGUUGAUCUUUUCUUUCCCUCUUAAAUAGACUUUAUUUUUUAAAUCAGUUUUAGGUUCAUAGCAAAACUGAGCUGAAGGUACAGAAAUUCUCAUAUUUCCUCAGCCUCUCCCACUAUCAACAUCCUGCAUCAGAGUGGAACACUUAUUACAACUGAUGAGCCCACAUUGGCACAUCAUUAUCAAUCAAAGUAUAUAGUUUACAUUAGAGUUCACCCUUGGUGUUGUAUAUACUAUGGGUUUGGACAAAUGUGUAAUGACAUAUAUUCAUAUAUUCACCAUUGUAGUAUCACACAUAAUAGUUACCCUGUCCCAAAAAGUCUUUGUGCUGUUGAAAAUGAUUUCUUCUUUAACAUCUUUCAUCUCUUCCUACCAAUCCCUGGCAGCCACUGAUCCUUUUACUGCCUCCAUAAUUAUGCCUUUUCCAGAAUGUUGCAUAGUUGGAAUGAUGUCGUAUGUAGACUUUUAAGACUGGCUUCUUUCACUGAGUAAUAUGAAUUUGUUUUCUCCAUGUCUUUUCAUGGCUUGGUAGCUCAUUUCUUUUUAGCACUGAAGAACAUUUCAUCGUCUGGAUGUGCCACAAUUUCUUUAUUCAUUGACCUACUGAAGGUCAUCUUGGUUGCUUCCAAGUUUUGGCAAUUAUGAUAAAUAAAGCUGCUAUGAACAUUCAUCUAUGGGUUUUUGUGUGGCCAUAAGUUUUCAGCUCCUAUGGGUGAAUACCAAGAAGCACAAUUGCUGAAUCAUAUGGUAAGAAUAUUUUUAGUUUUGUAAGAAGCUGCCAAACUGUCUUCUAAAGUGGGUAUAUCAUUUUGAAAGAUUGUUUUUGUUGUUGAUUUUUUUUUGUAACUUUUAUUUAGCUGAAUAGUCUAUUUUCGUUAUGGAACCAUGCAUUUUAGUCAUUUAUAAUAAUUAUUGUGUGGAUUUAAUAUACUUAUAAUGUGGGUUAACAUUUGGCAGUGCAAACCCAUCACUCAUCCCAAUGUAUGCAUUAUUUUCUUCUUCAAAAUUUGUGAUGCUGAAGUAUUAUUCUAUAAACCCCUCUCACCCCUUUGCCCCCUAGUUGUUGAUUUUUUAAAAAUUGAUUAAAUUUUUAAAUUAUUGUUUGUCUCUAAAUGCUUAACAGAUCUUUUCAGGUUUUUUAUUCUUCUUGAGUUUUUAAAAUAUUUCUCUAGAAAAUUGUGUACUUCAUCUACAUUUUUAUUAUAAUAUUGUUGUUCAUAGUAUUCUUUCAUGAGGUUCUAAAAUUUCCUAUACCAGUAUUUAUAUUGAAUUUUUAUUUUUUAUUAUUGUUGAUAUGUGCCUUUUCUUAUUUAUUAUUUGCCAGGUUUGUGAAGUUUUUGUUUUAUAAGUCUUUGUCAAGAGCCAGCAUUUGGUUUUAUUAACUCUAUUUAGUUAUCUUUGUUUUCUUAUUUCAUUCAUUUCUGUUCCUGCAUUUAUUAGCUCUUUUCUUCUACUUUGUUUUGUUUAUUAGUUAUAUAGCUUCCUUUUUUUUUUUUUUUUUUUUGUUUUUGGAGACUGUGUCUCACUCUGUCGCUCAGGCUGGAGUACAGUGGCGUGAUCAUGGCUCACUGCAGCCUUUGACCUCCCAGGCUCAAGCAAUCCUCCAACCUCUCAGCCUCCUGACUAGCUGGGGCCACAGGCACAUUGCCACCAUGCCCAGCUAACUUUUAUAUUUUUGGUAAAGAUGGGGUUUUGCCAUGUUGCCCAAGCAGGUCUCAAAUGAUCCUCCUGCCUUUGCCUCUCAAAGUGCUGGGAUUACAGGCAUGAACUACUGUGUCUGUCUAUUAAAUCUAUUUAGUUAUCUUUGUUUUUUAUUUCAUUCAUUUCAGUUCUUACAUUUAUUCUUUCCAUUUUAUUUAUUAGUUAUAUGACUUUUUUUAAUUUUAUUUUUAUUAUUAUUAUACUUUAAGUUUUAGGGUACAUGUGCACAAUGUGCAGGUUAGUUACAUAUGUAUACCUGUGCCAUGUUGGUGUGCUGCACCCAUUAACUCGUCAUUUAGCAUUAGGUAUAUCUCCUAAUGCUAUCCCUCCCCCCUCCCCCCACCCCACAACAGUCCCCGGAGUGUGAUGUUCCUCUUCCUGUGUCCAUGUGUUCUCAUUGUUCAAUUCCCACCUAUGAGUGAGAACAUGCGGUGUUUGGUUUUUUGUCCUUGGCGAUAGUUUGCUGAGAAUGAUGGUUUCCAGUUUCAUCCAUGUCCCUACAAAGGACAUGAACUCUUCAUUUUUUAUGGCUGCAUAGUAUUCCAUGGUGUAUAUGUGCCACAUUUUCUUAAUCCAGUCUAUUGUUGUUG